rnacentral:rRNA from 1 species
AGAGUUUGAUCCUGGCUCAGGAUGAACGCUGGCGGCGUGCCUAACACAUGCAAGUCGAACGAUUAAACCGGCCUCGGCCGGACAUAGAGUGGCGAACGGGUGAGUAACACGUGACCAACCUGCCCCCCGCUCCGGGACAACCGCUGGAAACGGCGGCUAAUACCGGAUGCUCCGGAGGACCCGCAUGGGUCCUUCGGGAAAGCCCUGGCGGCGGGGGAUGGGGUCGCGGCCCAUUAGGUAGACGGCGGGGUGACGGCCCACCGUGCCCGCGAUGGGUAGCCGGGCUGAGAGGCCGAUCGGCCACAUUGGGACUGAGAUACGGCCCAGACUCCUACGGGAGGCAGCAGUGGGGAAUCUUGCGCAAUGGGGGCAACCCUGACGCAGCAACGCCGCGUGCGGGACGACGGCCUUCGGGUUGUAAACCGCUUUCAGCGGGGACGAUUAUGACGGUACCCGCAGAAGAAGCUCCGGCUAACUACGUGCCAGCAGCCGCGGUAAUACGUAGGGAGCGAGCGUUAUCCGGAUUCAUUGGGCGUAAAGCGCGCGUAGGCGGAUGCCUAAGCGGGACCUCUAACCCGGGGGCUCAACCCCCGGCCGGGUCCCGAACUGGGCGUCUCGAGUGCGGUAGGGGCAGGUGGAAUUCCAUGUGUAGCGGUGGAAUGCGCAGAUAUAUGGAAGAACACCGACGGCGAAGGCAGCCUGCUGGGCCGACACUGACGCUGAGGUGCGAAAGCGCGGGGAGCGAACAGGAUUAGAUACCCUGGUAGUCCGCGCCGUAAACGAUGGACGCUAGGUGUGGGGGAACCAUUCCCCCGUGCCGAAGCCAACGCAUUAAGCGUCCCGCCUGGGGAGUACGGCCGCAAGGCUAAAACUCAAAGGAAUUGACGGGGACCCGCACAAGCAGCGGAGCAUGUGGCUUAAUUCGAAGCAACGCGAAGAACCUUACCAGGGCUUGACAUGCAGGUGAGCCCCGAGAGAUCGGGGGGCCUAGCGGAGCCUGCGCAGGUGGUGCAUGGCUGUCGUCAGCUCGUGUCGUGAGAUGUUGGGUUAAGUCCCGCAACGAGCGCAACCCCUGCCCCGUGUUGCCAGCAUUCAGUUGGGGACUCGCGGGGGACUGCCGGCGUCAAGCCGGAGGAAGGUGGGGACGACGUCAAGUCAUCAUGCCCCUUAUGCCCUGGGCCGCACACGUGCUACAAUGGCCGGUACAGAGGGUUGCGACCCCGCGAGGGGGAGCGGAUCCCGCAAAGCCGGCCCCAGUUCGGAUCGGAGGCUGCAACCCGCCUCCGUGAAGCCGGAGUUGCUAGUAAUCGCGGAUCAGCACGCCGCGGUGAAUACGUUCCCGGGCCUUGUACACACCGCCCGUCAAG